AAUGGUGGCAAAUCUCUUGGCUAUUGUCAUGUCGGCUUCAUUUUUCAACCCCAGCUUUGCCUUCAGUUCGCACUUCGACCCCGACGGCACUCCCCUGAGCGAGCUCUCCUGGUCUUCCUCUCUCGUGGUCGUGGCAAUUUCCUUCUCUGGCCUCUUCACUUUCAUCUUCCUCAUGUUGGCCUGUCUGUGCUGCAAGAAGGGGGGCAUUGGUUUCAAGGAAUUUGAUAAUGCUGAGGGAGAAGAAUAUGCUAGUGAAUUCUCAGCCCAGGGCUCACCCGCCAACCAGAAUGGCCCUGAAGUUUACAUUCUGCCUCUCACAGAAGUCUCCUUGCCCAUGUCCAGGCAACCUGGGUGCUCAGUGCAGCUGCUCAAAUCCACUGAUCUGGGACGCCACAGUCUGCUGUACCUCAAGGAAAUUGGCCAUGGAUGGUUUGGCAAGGUCUUCCUCGGUGAGGUGAAUGCAGGGCUGAGCAGCACUCAGGUGGUAGUGAAAGAGCUCAAGGCCAGUGCCAGCGUUCAAGAUCAGAUGCAGUUCCUGGAAGAGGCCCAGCCUUACAGGGCACUCCAGCAUACCAGUCUCCUGCAGUGCCUGGCCCAGUGUGCAGAAGUGACACCCUACCUGCUAGUGAUGGAGUUCUGCCCAUUGGGUGACCUGAAGGGCUAUCUGCGGAGCUGCCAUGCGGCUGAGGCAUUGGCACCGGAUCCUCUGACAUUGCAACGCAUGGCCUGUGAGGUGUCCUGUGGCCUGCUGCAUCUUCAUCGCAACAACUACGUACAUAGCGACCUGGCACUGCGGAACUGCUUACUCACAGCUGACCUGACAGUCAAAAUUGGAGACUAUGGCCUUUCUCAUUGCAAAUACAAAGAUGACUACUUUGUGACAGCGGACCAGCUGUGGGUACCAUUGCGCUGGGUGGCACCUGAACUCAUUGAUGAGGUACAUGGCAACCUGCUUAUUGUCGACCAGACCAAGACCAGCAACAUCUGGUCAUUGGGUGUGACCAUCUGGGAGCUCUUUGAGCUGGGCGGCCAGCCCUACUGCCACUACUCAGACCGGCAGGUGCUCACCUACGCCAUCAAGGAGCAGCAGCUUAAACUUCCCAAACCACAACUCCCGCUCUCACUGUCUGACCGCUGGUAUGAGGUGAUGCAAUUCUGCUGGCUGCAGCCAGAUCAGCGCCCAACUGCUGAGGAGGUGCACCUCCUGCUCUCGUACCUGUGUGCCAAGGGUGCUUCGGAGGCUGAGGAAGAGUUUGAGCGGCGUUGGAACUCCAUGAAGCCCGGGGGUGGUGGAGGCUCAGGCUCCAGCUCAAGUCACAUGGGUGUUGAGCUUUCAUCCUUUCCCUUGCUAGAGCAUUUCUCCAAUGAUGGUGAUGAUGUCCUGACCGUCAUGGAGACGAGCCACGGCCUCAACUUUGAAUGCAAGUGGGACCAAGGCAAAACUGAGCACCUGCCAGCCUCAGCCAUGAGCCCUCGUGGUGCUGCACGGUACCAUGAACUCUACUACCCGGCCAGCAGCGGAGGAGGAGGGGGUGGCAGGCACCUCACCCUGGGGGUCUCGCCUUCCUGCUAUGAGUGCAAAGUGCAGGGCUGCCCCGGCCUGCAUACGCCAAGUGUGGUGCCUGUGCUGAGUGCCCACAGCCCCUCCCUGAACAGCGAAUACUAUAUCCGCAUUGAGGAGGCAGCCUCCGAGGGCAGCGGGACUGACCUUGAUUACACCAUGUGCUCCUAUAGCCCGGAGUUUGGCCGCCCUUCCCACUGGCAAGCCAAGGAAGGCUGCUGUGAGUCGAACAAUAGCCCCACCGUCUCACUCGCCAUGGAGCCCCUUCUGGGCCAUUCGGCACACACUGACAGCAGUCCCUGGGAACCCCCUGACUACUACUCCUAUGGAGGACAAGGGGAUAAAGAGGUCCCAUCCUACUAUGAGGCUUCCCCCAAAGGCAGUGCUGAGAAAUACCUGCUGAAGGAGCCCAGCGCCUCUGAGUGGCCUGUUCCAGCUUCACAGAAGAGCAUCUUUGCUGACCCACUGGGUGUGUCUCCAUCAGUGACUUACACCUACAAGGAGGCUGUGGCAGACUCAGUCACUCUGGAGCUGGAGGAGGAGGAGGAGGAGGAGGAGGAGGAGGAGAACUCUUGUGACAGCCCUAGGAGUGAAGGGGGUGAGAAUGACGAAUCCCCUUCCUCCAACAAGCAUUGGACAUCCAACAUCUCAGCCAAUAAUAAUAGCUGCCAUCCACUGCCACCAUGUGAACCGCCUGCCAAUGACAGCUGGUGCUACCGGCGCAUGAUCACCUUUCAGGGGCUCAUGGCAGAGCCACUAUGCACAGUACCCCGGGACGAGCCCUCACUAGGGAUCAGGGACCUAAGAGCAGCCCUUUUGGGUGGGGAACGUGUGACAUCAUCUCAUGCAGGCUCCCCGUGUCUGGACACUGACUUGCCUACAGAGGAGCAAACAUGUGAGGUUGCCAAUGCAGAGAUCAGCAUAGAUGACUCUACAGACCCAUUGACUGGGAGUGGAGUGGAAUGUCACGAGGCCACCACUCCAUCAUUGGGGGAAACAGAUUGGGUGGCAUCAUUGGCAUCAUCAUCCAUGCCAGAACCCAUCAACGACAUGGAUGCCAGGGAUAUAACCAUGCCAGAAGAGGCACCAGAACCUGGAGAAGAUCAUCUCAUUGUGGAAGAGGCCCUGGCUGAAUGCUCACCCCAGGUGCCACAAGAGAUCAAUGUGGAAAGUGGCAAGAACACCACCAACAGUGAACAAGACAGGACACCAGACAAGACAUUUUCGAGUGCCAGCUUUCCUGACUUGGAUGAGGCCAGUGAUGAGGAUACAGCUGAGCUCACAUCUGGAGUCUUCACUGACUUCCCGGUUGAUUGCACCCAACGGCAGGAUGUAACAGCUACCCUCAAGUCCUUGCAGAAGCAGGUGGGGACCCCUGAUUCACUGGACUCAUUGGACAUCCCAUCUACCACUAGCUCCUGUGAGGCAUUUAGCCCCACAGCCUAUGUGCCCUCAAGCCAGCCUAAGGCCCUAGAUAGUGGCUAUGACACAGAGAACUAUGAGUCACCUGAAUUUGUCCUGAAAGAGCCUCAUGAGCCACGAGAGCCUGAAACCUUCACCCAGCUGGAAAAGGCACAGGAUGACGGGGAGUGCCCAGCCAAAGAGCUAAGCCUCUCUAAUUCCUUCAGUGCUGAGCUGCAGGGCUUAGAUGAGAAGAACCCUUACCGUGACUCAGCCUACUUCUCUGACUAUGAUACUGAAGGGGGAACUCGGGAAGACGGGGAAGGGGACAGUGAUGGUUCUGAGGGGCAUGAGCUAGAGGUCCCCCAGAUGGACACUGAAGAGUUGGGGAAGGACACUAACCAAAACAGCAGCACAGGAAAGUCUUCGCAUUCCUGCCUUGAGUCCACUUGCCCAGAUGAAGACAUUGGGGGAUGUACCUUUCCUCUAGAACAGGGGACGAGGAAAGACACUGAUAUCAAUUUGUCACAAGAGCCAGUAGUGAAUGGAGUUGCUUAUGAUGAGCGGGACUCAAACUCACCCAGAGAUAAGAGUGAUGGGACUGUUGCAGUGCCCCAGGCCCCAGACCUCACCACCAGAUCCUUUUUCUUGUCACCUGUGGUUGUGAGUGCAGAGGUGCCCCCUGGGGCUGGUGAGGGAGAUGCAAGGCAGGAAAAUGUGCUAAGGGAGGCAGAGCAGCCAGGGGAAGUGCAGGAAGCUCAUUGUCAUGAGGAGCCCCAGAGCAGUUCUGGACUCUCACUGGAUCUGUCAGUGGUGCCGUCUCGGCAUUCUUCUGCCCCCACUGAUUUUGAGGAAGAGGAGGACGACACAGAGGAUAGCGAUGAGUCGGAUGAGGAACUGCGGUGCUACAACAUCCAGGACCAGAGUGAGGAGAGCGAGGAGGAGUCGCUGACUGUGCCCAUUGUGGUGGCUGAGAGCCACAGUGCUCGCAACCUGCGCAGUCUGCUUAAGAUGCCCACCAUGCUGGUGGAGACCUUCUGUGAUGACCUUGAACGCAAGAAGAAAGCUGUCUCCUUCAUUGAAGAUGUCACUGUCUACCUCUUUGACCAGGAAAGCCCCACGAAGGAACUGGCUGAGCAGCCUUUCCCAGGAGUGGCAGAAUCUCUUCUGACACCACCUGUGCAUAAGGACAGCGACUGUUCCCCAAGCCCAGCAGAGAGGACAGAUGCAACCAACAAUUCCUCAGAAGGGAGCACCUCUGAAGAAGAGAGUAAGGGUGGUGGUUUUGAGUGGGAUGAUGACUUCUCACUCAUGCCAGUGAAAUCGUCCGUUACGGCAUCAUUGACAUCAGCGGCACCUGAGCCUGCCCUUCCCAGACUGCCAUCCACACUAGUGCCAGCUCAGAAGCAGGUGCUGCCCAUCCAGUUUUCACGCUUCACAGUCUCACCUGCACCAGUGUCACGGUUCUCCAUCACACAUGUCACCGACUCGGAUGCUGGGUGCGUAGGAGGAAGCAGUGAAAACAGAGGUGACAGAGAAUGAGUUGGCCACAGGCUCGAUUUUGGACUUAUCAUCCUGCCCCCUACAGCAUCGGUUUCUGCAUCGGGGCUAAGGAGUAAGGAUUGAGGCCCAGAACCUGGGUGGAGCAGAGGAACUCCGUGGGGGCCUCACUCUUCUUUUCCCUUUUUUUAAAGAGGCAGAUUUUAUUGGACAGAUCUUGACUGCUGCUAGGCUGGAGACACCCCACAGUGAGGCAAUUUUGUGAUGAGAGUGUGGAUGUGAGGGUGUGCGCGUGUGUAAGAGUGAAUGUGUGUAUGUGUACAGAUAGACAUAUAGAACCUAUAGCAUUGAAAGGGUAGAGCUGUGACCUUGCUAACAUUGCUGCCCUUUCACCCAAGCCAUUUUGAUACCCCUGGCCCUCUCUAGCUCAUGCCUCUUGAUGUUUUGACCCACAUUGGCUUCUCAGGUUGGGGCACUGCCUUGAGAUCACCACCACUUGUUCCCCCUGCCUUCUCUGUAAGCUUGUCUUGUGUUCUUUCCAAGCCCGCCUUGGGAUAUAGAGAGAGCACACAGCCUUGCACCUUGUGCCAUUCAGACAUGCUUAAAUUUGGCCCUCAAGAACUGGGUACUCCUUUCCUUCCUUCCUAGUGACCGCAAGCUCCUCCUUGCCCCUCACUCAACACAUGGCUGUGUCAUGAGAUCCAGCGGAGCCACCGGAUGGGUUGUGCACUAUCCUGCCAUCCCGUGUGGCUUUUGAAGCCCCAUCUGUUAAAAAGCUUGGAGAGUAAGUGGGAUAUUACCAAAUACAGGAUUUUCUCUUGCAUCGUGGGAAUGUGAGUUGGUAUAAUAACCAUCCAUGUGUACUGAAGUGUCUUUUAAAAUUGCCCUUGCCAUCCCCUGGUGAGUACAACCAUGGCUUUGUGUGUACUGCCAUUCACUAGAGAGAGAGAGAUUGUUUGUUUGUUUUAAGGCCACAGAGUAUGAUACUUGCUGCAGAAUGCAGCUUUGUAAGAACCCCUUCUUUUAUUUGGAAAGAAAAGAUGGUUUCUAGCCAUUACAACUGUAAGGAUAAGCCUAAAAAUCUGUGGACAAACUUCAGAAGCUAAGAGUUUGCUGAGCCUUCUGAUGAGAUUUCCAGUGGUUACAGAGCUACAGUCCCCCUUUCCUUGCCAUGAUGACUAAUAGAAACUGAAUAAAUUAUGCAGCAUAAUGGAUAUCUUGCACAUUUUCUUUAUUUACAUGAGAUAAGUAGCAGACUCCAGCUCAUCAUAGAACAGCCGUGACUACUUUCUAUCACUUUAAGGAGGAAGGUGAUGGUCCAGCAUUGCUGUUUUGUGAGGCUUGAGGUUUCAUUCUUGGCUUCAUUCUGCUACCCAGCUUAUUUCCUAGCUCAGUUUUUCCCGUCUGUAAGCAUUACUGAAGGCAGACCCUAGCUGAGCUAAUUCAUGGCAAACAAGUCUUACUAUGUAAGCUCUCGAAGCUGCCAGUGUUCAUGGUUGACUCCUUUGGCCAAAACAUUGCUUGGUGGGAAGAACAGAACGCAUAUCACCCAUAGUGAGUAGUAAGACAGUGUGUGUUUGCCAUUUUUCUACACUGGCGUCAUGCAUAUUCAUUUUAUUUUAUUUAACAGUAUUUGUGUACCGCUUAGUUGUAAAAACCUCUAAGUGAUUUACAUUAAAUAUACAUUAAAAUUAUCAAUAAAGUCAAGAUGUUAAAAACAAGGAUUGCCAGAAAAGAGAAAGGGUACAGUUUCUACUGUUCAGGGCUUUUGUGCUCAUGUCAAUCUCUAUAAUUAGCAGUGGCAGCAGAAUAGAUUAUGCAAAACAAACAUAGGUACAAAUUUGCUUUCUUUGCAUGAUUUAUACAGGGUGCGGAAUCCAGCUUUUCCUGGUGCAGAAUUUCAGUUUGUAUUUUUAAAGAGUGUGGCAUAUGCACUGCCUUGGUGAGCCAAGAGGGGCCUUAACCUAAGUUGGCUGUAAAGCAAAUGGAGUCUGCUCGAUCUGACAGCAGCUUAGUCCCAACAUUUGGCCACCCCAUUUCCUCUGUGAGAAGCAAAUGGCUCAGAACAGAUUUUUCACUGUAAGAGAGCUGUCCAGACGGCUGCAUUUAAGUACCUACAGAACAAGCAAUUGAGACAAUAAAACUGCUUGCUUUGGGGGAAACUGACCUGCUGCUUUUAAGUUAGAAAACAAUGGGCAAAGUGGGUGGACAUAAAUCAGCAUUGGCUACAAGGCUGUGCAGUUACUUUUUCCUCAGGGACAGGUUAAUCCAGACUUAUGUGGGCAUAAGAAGAAUAAAAUGCAUAAUUCUUCCAAACAAAUCCCUUUACCCACAUGGGGACAAGAUACCUCUUGUGGGGGAAGUGAGUGGUUUUCAUGCCAAUGGAGCUGUGUGCUCUAUUAUUGUACUGUUGAGAGGCAUUUGGAUUUGGAUGUGAGCCUCAGAGGAACAGCAACCACAGGUAGAAUUGGUACUGCUCCCAGCAUGGUGGUAUAGAGCUCCAGGAGAUCCCAACAGGAAAAGGUAGGCUUUAUACUGCUGAACAUCACUGCCAUCACUGAGCAACACACUAGGUAGCACUAUUUGCAUGGGCUGCAUGUCUGUCUGAUAUACUCUGUAUAGCUAUCCCAAAUCUCUUUGCCUUGUAGGCAGUUGUCAGGCAUGGUGUUGGUGCAAUGAAACUAUGCAGAAGUGGUGGCAUCAACAUGGGGUUCUUGAGUGCUGCACCCUUGGAGUUCCCAUCUCGUAUGCUCCCGUUCCUCCACAUUAGAUGAAGUGGAAGAGAGACAGAUGGCAUAACGUGGCCUCAGCCUGCCACAGCAAAGGCACCAUGAAUUCUAUGGAGAAAAGCUUUGGGGAUUGGCUGUUGCUAAGAAGCUAUAGCACAGCUUGAUCUCCAAACUGCAUUCUUUUCAGUAUUGCAUUUGAACAAGAAGCUCUUAGAGGUGUAUAUGGUCUAUAGCAUCAAAAUGCAUUCAGCCCGAGAGGCUGCAUGAAGACAGAGCUAGAGCUAUGUUUUGGAUUGGGAUGGUUUUUGUUUUUCUUUUUUUAAAAAAAGAGAGAGAGAAAGAGGCUAUCUACAGUGUAUAUUUUAUUGAUACGGGUCAUAUUGCUGUAUUUUUUAUCAGUGCUGAUUUCCAUACAGCUCCCAGCAUGUGUGUCAAAUACCAUUGG